rnacentral:tRNA from 1 species
GGGGAUGUAGCUCAGUGGUUCCAGCACCUGCCUCACAAGCACAAGGUCAGGAGUUCAAUCCCUUCAAUCCCC